rnacentral:rRNA from 1 species
CAAGGGGGUCAUCCCGACUUACCAACCCGAUGCAAACUGCGAAUACCGGAGAAUGUUAUCACGGGAGACACACGGCGGGUGCUAACGUCCGUCGUGAAGAGGGAAACAACCCAGACCGCCAGCUAAGGUCCCAAAGUCAUGGUUAAGUGGGAAACGAUGUGGGAAGGCCCAGACAGCCAGGAUGUUGGCUUAGAAGCAGCCAUCAUUUAAAGAAAGCGUAAUAGCUCACUGGUCGAGUCGGCCUGCGCGGAAGAUGUAACGGGGCUAAACCAUGCACCGAAGCUGCGGCAGCGACGCUGAUGCGUUGUUGGGUAGGGGAGCGUUCUGUAAGCCUGCGAAGGUGUGCUGUGAGGCAUGCUGGAGGUAUCAGAAGUGCGAAUGCUGACAUAAGUAACGAUAAAGCGGGUGAAAAGCCCGCUCGCCGGAAGACCAAGGGUUCCUGUCCAACGUUAAUCGGGGCAGGGUGAGUCGACCCCUAAGGCGAGGCCGAAAGGCGUAGUCGAUGGGAAACAGGUUAAUAUUCCUGUACUUGGUGUUACUGCGAAGGGGGGACGGAGAAGGCUAUGUUGGCCGGGCGACGGUUGUCCCGGUUUAAGCGUGUAGGCUGGUUUUCCAGGCAAAUCCGGAAAAUCAAGGCUGAGGCGUGAUGACGAGGCACUACGGUGCUGAAGCAACAAAUGCCCUGCUUCCAGGAAAAGCCUCUAAGCAUCAGGUAACAUCAAAUCGUACCCCAAACCGACACAGGUGGUCAGGUAGAGAAUACCAAGGCGCUUGAGAGAACUCGGGUGAAGGAACUAGGCAAAAUGGUGCCGUAACUUCGGGAGAAGG